rnacentral:rRNA from 1 species
GACGAACGCUGGCGGCGUGCCUAAUACAUGCAAGUCGAGCGGAGCUUAUCCUUCGGGGUAAGCUUAGCGGCGGACGGGUGAGUAACACGUAGGCAACCUGCCCCUUAGCCUGGGAUAACUACCGGAAACGGUAGCUAAUACCGGAUAAUUUCUUUUUUCUCCUGAAGAGAGAAUGAAAGGCGGAGCAAUCUGCCAUUUAGGGAUGGGCCUGCGGCGCAUUAGCUGGUUGGUGGGGUAACGGCUCACCAAGGCGACGAUGCGUAGCCGACCUGAGAGGGUGAACGGCCACACUGGGACUGAGACACGGCCCAGACUCCUACGGGAGGCAGCAGUAGGGAAUCUUCCGCAAUGGGCGAAAGCCUGACGGAGCAACGCCGCGUGAGUGAUAAAGGUUUUCGGAUCGUAAAGCUCUGUUGCCAGGGAAGAACGUCCGGUAGAGUAACUGCUACCGGAGUGACGGUAUCUGAGAAGAAAGCCCCGGCUAACUACGUGCCAGCCGCCGCUGUAA